rnacentral:rRNA from 1 species
GACGAACGCUGGCGGCGUGCUUAACACAUGCAAGUCGAACGGAAAGGCCCUGCUUUUGUGGGGUGCUCGAGUGGCGAACGGGUGAGUAACACGUGAGUAACCUGCCCUUGACUUUGGGAUAACUUCAGGAAACUGGGGCUAAUACCGGAUAGGAGCUCCUGCUGCAUGGUGGGGGUUGGAAAGUUUCGGCGGUUGGGGAUGGACUCGCGGCUUAUCAGCUUGUUGGUGGGGUAGUGGCUUACCAAGGCUUUGACGGGUAGCCGGCCUGAGAGGGUGACCGGCCACAUUGGGACUGAGAUACGGCCCAGACUCCUACGGGAGGCAGCAGUGGGGAAUAUUGCACAAUGGGCGAAAGCCUGAUGCAGCAACGCCGCGUGCGGGAUGACGGCCUUCGGGUUGUAAACCGCUUUCGCCUGUGACGAAGCGUGAGUGACGGUAAUGGGUAAAGAAACACCGGCUAACUACGU